rnacentral:rRNA from 1 species
GGGGGGCGACCCCGGGGGCGCGCGUCCCCGCGAGCUCUGAACAACCCUUUGGGCGCGGCGAGCGCCAAGGAAUCGAAGCGGAAAGGGCGGCCGCCCCACCAGGCGCGAGCGCACCCCGGCCGGGGACGCGGCACCGCCGUGGGGAUCCGCCGCCCGCCUGUGAAUCAUUUAGACGACUCUCGGCAACGGAUAUCUCGGCUCUCGCAUCGAUGAAGAACGUAGCGAAAUGCGAUACUUGGUGUGAAUUGCAGAAUCCCGUGAACCAUCGAGUCUUUGAACGCAAGUUGCGCCCGAGGCCACUCGGCCGAGGGCACGCCUGCCUGGGCGUCACGCCACCCAUCGCCACCCCCCCGCGGCAUUCCCAUGCCGCGCCGGGGAGCGGAGACUGGCCGUCCGUGCCCGAGCCCUCGGCGCGCGGUCGGCAGAAAAGGAGGACACCGUGCGGCGAGACACGGCGUGUGGGGGUUGAGAGGCGACUCGUCGCCGAUCGUACGUCGCGCCCGCAUUCCGCCGCGCGCAGUGUCACCCGUGGGACCGGACUCGCCCGCAGCCGCGGGCGCUCGG